UGGAAAAGAACCAUGUGUUAAUAAUAUGAAAGGAGACCGGGCGGGAUGAUGAUAGUGACGCAACAAGGCAUGGAGGUCUUGGGUGCGGAUCUAUCCCCGUCUGUGUCGGUUAAGGACCGAUCGUUGUACGUCCUCUUGUCAUGUUGAACGCAUGCCUAACACUUAGUUGGCUGGAUAACUCGUUCCGACCGCGAAGCCUAGUAGUAUGACUCAGGCCGGAAGACCGGCAAGUAUAAAGUGCGCACUACCGGAGGAAGUGCGGUGUGCGGGGGACCAUUGGCGUAAGUCCAAAGGCAGGUGAGUUAAAAUUCCUGACCUCCCUGGCAGAGUGGUAGCCCUAGGAGUGCGGCGCUGAUCGGAACCGCGAUUCCCGAGUCGUACCAAAGGUGACCCGUUGGCUCUCCGACGGGGGAUGCUUGGGUGAGUGCUAGGAAUACCCCUCCAGCUGGAUAGGAAUCGAUUCGAAUCGCCGUCUCUCCCGGAUAGUGAGAACUUGACAGAGCAGCGGCAAACGUAGCAUUCACU
rnacentral:lncRNA from 1 species